rnacentral:siRNA from 1 species
UUUGUGUCUCGAUGUCUUUCUAU